UCAUCAACAGCUACUGGCGUAACAGUUUCCCUCCCGAGCAGUGGUAGAGGAGAGACCAAGAAGCACGGAGGAAAGGACGCGAGCCGCGUGUUUGAGAAAGGACAGAGAUGAGUGAACGCUGCAAACAAGAAGAACGAAAAAAAUAAAACUCGUCAGCGGUAUAAACAAUAUCAUAAAUAUUGUUUUUGUAGCAACCAACAAACGGAGUGCGUCGAGGACUUUGCGUCUCCGUCGUCAUCGUUUUGCGGUUUCCCUUCGUGUUCAGGAGGGUGUGGAGUAUUCGGGCGCGUAGGGUAGUGGCAGAGGUGUGACUCCUGCAAGACGAUACAGUGUGCGCGGUCCUCCGUACCAGAUCGUGCUGCCAGAUGUGCUGCUAACAAAGCAAAGCGGAUUUGGGACUCAUCCACCAAGAGCGGCGGUGGCGAAGAGCGGCGACGACCCGUCGAGAUGCUGGGGUCGUCACAGUUGCACUUGCUGCAGCAUAGAGCAGAACGCCCAGAAGCCAUCGCCAACAUAUCGGCAGCGGACUAGGAGAGGUCGAGUGUGGUGCAAAAGGUCAUCAACAUAAUGAACCGUUUUCCCUCCGAUAGCGGGUGAAUAUCGCUGCUCCGGCGUGUUGAUGACAAUCAAAAUCGAGAGUUUAUCACCGUCGCCUACAUGGGGUGUACCCACGGUGGCGGAGGAAGAACCACACACCAGUUUUCGGUUUUGCGACGGGCUCCCGACUCGAUCGUUUGUCGAGGGGGGAGGUACCAAUUUGUUUACAUUUAACACCAGCAACCCGCCGAAAGGAGUCAGGCACCCAUAAAUUUGGACACUAAGGAGAAUUAGCGGCGCGUCAGUGCGAGGUGUCAGAAAUUUCGGUAGUAAUCAUGUUUCAUCGGUAUCACGUGGUUUUUCCAAACAAACCGUUAAAAGGGAAACGAAAUAAACUCGCGGCGACACAGGCGAAAUAUUAAUAA